UACACAGUGAAGCUGCGACUCAUCUUGGGU
rnacentral:piRNA from 1 species